AAAUUAAUUACUUCUACCUGCAUAAAAUACGUAAAGAUGUUACAGAGAAACUUGUUGAUCUUUUUAUCCAAGAAUGGAACACUCAUUACAAACAAUCCCUCGGAGAAUGGGAAAAUACAAACAAGUUAAAAUACUCCUGUCUUUGAGAAAACGUACAAGGAGAUAGAAGAAGAGGAAAUGAAUUUGUAGCUCAUUUUCAAUGAAGAAGAAAAUCAAUUUCUCUUUUCAUUUUAGGUAUGUCUUCUUUAUACUAAAACUGAUUAGAAACAGUUGUAUUGUAGAUUUCUUUUAACAAAGGUUCAAAUAACAACAGUUGUAUGUUUAUAAAA